ensembl:ncRNA lncRNA:CR45736 long non-coding RNA:CR45736
ACGCAUCACUCUGAAAAUACAAGAAAUCCAGCACACACGCCAUAACUUUUAAACAACUUUUUCAAUUUCUAAAAAAUCUGAACCGAUUCCCUUCUAUUCCUCUGCCCUAAAAUCCUUCAUCAAUACCAAUAACAACUCAUACCCGACAAUCAUUAGAAACCUGUUUUUGAAACACUUCUCUAAAAAACUCAUCUGGAUCCCAAGUCACAUUGGAAUUACAGAAAACGAAAACGUCGAUAAAACAGCUAAAGAUGUCCACAUGUACCCCCUUGUAUACUGUCCAAAUUACAACUCCAACGACAUCUCACAGAAUAUUACAAAAUACGUUUUCUCCAAACAAACAGAACUAGACAUCAACAUUACUCCUUGGUACAAGCGUGUCCUUUCUAACCACAUCAAAUUUCUCUUACAACACCACAUUACACAAUAGGAAAAGUCAAAUCCUUAUAAACCGGCUCAUGCUUGGACACACCAACUUCACUAAUGCGCCUUCCAGUUUGAAAGAUCCCUACCCAACCCAUGGUACCAUCAUCACCAGUUAGACAUUAAACACAUCAUCUCGUU